rnacentral:rRNA from 1 species
AGUGAACGCUGGCGGUAGGCCUAACACAUGCAAGUCGAACGGCAGCACAGUAAGAGCUUGCUCUUACGGGUGGCGAGUGACGGACGGGUGAGGAAUACAUCGGAAUCUACUUUUUCGUGGGGGAUAACGUAGGGAAACUUACGCUAAUACCGCAUACGACCUACGGGUGAAAGCAGGGGAUCUUCGGACCUUGCGCGAUUGAAUGAGCCGAUGUCGGAUUAGCUAGUUGGCGGGGUAAAGGCCCACCAAGGCGACGAUCCGUAGCUGGUCUGAGAGGAUGAUCAGCCACACUGGAACUGAGACACGGUCCAGACUCCUACGGGAGGCAGCAGUGGGGAAUAUUGGACAAAGGGCGCAAGCCUGAUCCAGCCAUACCGCGUGGGUGAAGAAGGCCUUCGGGUUGUAAAGCCCUUUUGUUGGGAAAGAAAAGCAGCAGGCUAAUACCCCGCUGUUCUGACGGUACCCAAAGAAUAAGCACCGGCUAACUUCGUG